CUAAAGGGUGUUCGGGAGGCUACGCCGUAAAACAACCCCAUUUCUAAGGUUGACCUCGGAUCAGGUAGGGAUACCCGCUGAACUUAAGCAUAUCAAUAAC
rnacentral:rRNA from 1 species